UAAACAUUUUUUUCAUGCUACUCACACAUCCUUAAAACUAGAGCAAGCAUUUUGCAGACUACAAGCAUACUCCAAGAAGCCAAACUUCACACCUCCAAACUUUAUUUGGAUUAAAUACUGUUCUGCUAGAUAGAAGCAGUGAUUCUGCUCAUCAGACAUACUGCUGCCUCAUCAAGAAUUGCUAUGUUUAUUUUGCCAGAGGCUGUAUCUUCAGAAAGUAACCAAUGGUAGAGAAGCCCAAAUGAAACACAUCUGCAGAACAGAGACACUGUUACCCACAUCUUUCUCACAUCUUUCUUCUCUAUGAAGCAGAACUAUAGUAGCUUUAUUGCUUACUAAGUCUUCCAGAAACACUAGAGAUGCUGUCACUUAUGGGAGGACACACUUUGUUCAAAAAAAAAGAAAAAAGAAAAAAAGAAGAAAAAAAGAAAAAGAAAAAGAAAAAAAGAGAGAAAGAAAGAAAAAGAAGACAAGAACACAGGUUUUUGAAUGAAGACUCUUCCACAGCUGCAGGCAUAUCACACAGUAGACUGGCAGGAGAAUACUUCCUUCUCAUCUAUGUUCAGCAGAGGAAGAGUGGGAUUUUCUACCUGGCUCUAACCUGAAGAAAGAGUUCUUUCCUCAUAGCGCUACUGCUGGCCUGGGCUUCAUCCUUCCCGUAAAACUGAAUACACAUCUUCAGCAUUUCCUGUUGUCCCUCUUCAGACCCAGGAUGCCCAGUACAGGCCAAGUAAAGACUGCUGUGUACCUGUUCUAGCAGAUGAGACGUCAGGAAGUUCUUCUUCUUCUUCUUCUUCUUUUUUUUUUUUUAGUGUUUCACUAACACUUUUCAAACUAGCUAGAGCUACUUGAUAUCAACCAUAACACUUGGGACUGCUAACUGCCAGAGAGGGUUCAUUAAAGAGCUUUAAAUCUUUCUCUGACUAAAGUUUUCAGUUGUGUGAAUUAACUAAGUACUAGUUACCUACUCACUACUCUGGUCAAGGCAGGGAAAACAUUUUGUACUGUUCUACUAGACUGCUGUUUGUUAUAUAAGUUUCUGAAGCUUAUCAUUAAAACAGGCUUUGGUGUCACUGAAACUGUAACUCAGUUAACAGUGCCAAGAGCUGAUGGGAUAAACAACAUAUUGAAGUGUUUUUAUUGUCUUAUUGAUAAAGCUGUUUUGUAAUAUUUUCUUCUGUGUUCACACAGACUGUGUGUCCUAAUACUCAGUGACCCAUUGCCCCCUAAGUCAUUGAAGUACUCAGAAAUUUUAUGACCGGUCUUCCGUCAGGAAGUUAUACACAAGCUGAACUUCAGGCAUGUGAAGCAUCUCAUUGAAGUUUCCCAUUUCAAGUUCAUACCCAUGUGUCUGUAGGAUGAUAGUAUCUCAGCAUCUUCAUGCUUCUCGAUUAAAGGCUAGUAAUUGGAGCCAGCUUCCAGUAGUAUGGGCAACGUUUCCUUCUGCAGCACUGAGGUCUCAGGAUAGGAGCUCCUGUAAUAAAAAGAGAUAAAAAGGAUAGCCCAAGGGAAGUCAGAUUUACUGUUUCUGGAUGGGCCUACCUCAUGUAUUUCAAAUCCCAGUGGCCAUACCAGGACUAUAGCUUGUACAAAGUGAUGGCUGUGGGCUCUUGUCCUCAGCUAAUCUUGCUGCACCAGUAACCACUAAUCUUUCCUGUACCUGGAGCUGGCUACAGUCACCAUCAUUCUUGACAUUGCCAUAGCCCAGAGACAUAAGUAAGGAGACCAGAGAUAAAGUGACACCAAUGCACAACAAAAGGAUCCCAGGUGUACCAAGCCUCUCACUGAAGAAACUCAUUUCUCCCUUUUGUUCUGGAGCCAGAGAGUACUUGACAUCUUUGAGGUUUCUUGAGAGGUUUCUUCAUGGCCUUUUCCACAUAUCUGAAGCAUAACCUCUGACUUAUUUUCAUCUUAAAGCAAAAGUGAAAAUCUAUCAGAAGAGAACACCAAAGAAGAAAAAGUUGAUGAAAACUCCUGACUACUUGGAAGACAAAAUCAGAAAUGUUGCAGGUAUUUAUAAUAAAUGAACUGUUUGGACUAUAAGCUAUCUCUAUGAAGAGAAAUGUUGCCUUUGCUCCAUUCUCUGUAGUGAGGACAUUUGGACUGCAUUAAGCCACAGAGUGGGAGGGGAUUUCAGAAAAUUUUUCCUGCCAAAAUUGCAUGUAAGGCUGCUUAAAAAAAAAUAAGAGUCUGAUUGUUAUAAAGCUUAAUGUUAUGAUGUUUUCAAUUAGUUUAAAAGCUUUUUUUAUUGAUCAUUUUUAUUACGGUUGUUCAGUUAUUUUGUAACUCUUAUUUGGAAUAAGUCACAGUUUAUUUAAAGCAUCUUGAACUGCAUUGCUUUUUCAAGUCUUAUCAAGAACGAGUACUGUGCUGGGUCAGUCUAUACACUUUUAAGUUUUAGCAUUUUUAAUGUAAUGUUUCAAUGUUCAUUUUGUGUUUGUUUUUUAUCCAUUGACCUUGUUUUGUGAGAUUUUGUGUAAGGCUUAGCUUCAGUUUAUUUGAGGGUGCUAGACACCUUGUGGAAUUUUUGCUGUUGUUUUCUAAGUUUUAACAUAUUCUAAUACAUUUGUCUACAAGUCAAAUAUGAUAUGGAGACUUUUGUGAGUAGAUUUGUUUAUGUUACUUUUAUCUUACUUUCCUAACUUAUGUAAUGUAUCCUUAUUCAUUUGCAUUUAAAUAUUUCAUUUCUGGUUAAACAUAUUUUGUUCUGCCUUGAGCCUAGUUUCUGCAUGUUUUCUUAUUUUCCUAUUAAUGAUUUUAAAAUUCUGAAAACCAGUUGGUGUGUCAAGAAGUUCAGUGCUGUUUGGAUGAUAUCCAUGCCACAUAAACUUUUAAUACACAAGCACAACAGAUGAGUUGCAAUGCAAUACCUAUGCUGAAGAUUUGCCAGAGCUGAAGAUUUAGUAUUAAUUGAAUAUAAAUUGCUACAAUAUAAUUAUCCUAAGUACUUUAAGCUAUUAAAUAUAAGUAACUUGAUCUAUUUCUAAACCAAUUAUAAGCUGCAGGGAAUGUGAGGGAGAGGGAGGAGGUUGUGAAGGAAAACUGGAGAAAGAGAAAGGAAAUGGAGAAAGGAAUAAAUUAAAGACGAUCAAGUGAUUUGUAUGAAGGAAAAUACAGCUAUAAAAUUAUCUGUGAGAGCACGACAGGUUGUCUGCUAAUUUUUGAAUAAUUUAUGGAUGUAAAUAUAACUAUAAAUCUUUCCAUAUCAUACAUUUAAGAAAAAUGUAAGUAACACUUAAGGAAUUACUGUAGUGAUCAGGGAUAUCUGUGCUUCACAAAGAAAUGGGACGAGGUAAUAAGGAGAAGAAUGGAGUAUUUCAUUCCUUAAGCUGAUGCCAUACUCUUUUUUCCCUUCUGUCACAAAAAUCCUUUCUCUGCAUAACCAACCUCGAACUCUGACUGACAUGUCCCACAGCUAUAAAAAAGGACCACACUGUAAGAGAACUGCAUCACUAAACAACCUCAGCAUGCAUCUGAUGUUAUUAGGUUGUCCUUAAUCAAUCUGGAAAAGAGAAGACACCAGGAGGCUGAGAUCAGCUUAUGCUGGUGUCCAAUAAUUUAGCAGUUAUUCAGGUGCAUGUCUUUUUCACUAUAAAAUCCUUUUUUUCUUUCUCUUUCAUUUUUUUUUUUCCUUUUCCCUAGCCCUAUCUGAUGUUGGCUUCUUGAUGCUAUUCGUGUUUACAAUGUUUUGACAGAUGGUAGGCUCAGGGCAUAUUGCCCUUUCCACACAGAAUUCAGGGGGGAAAAAAAAGUGUUGUCAGUGCCUUGGAUAGCCUUUCUGAACAAACAGGCUUAGCUCAAGUCUCUAGAAGUUUAAAAAAAGAGGAGAAAUACGACUGUGACCAGAAAUGAGGGCCAACCAUAUAAGUUUAUUUUAAACUUCAAAAGUGGCAGUUUUACUCUGAAGCUGUUUCUAAAAUUCAGCAAAGGAGCAGAAGGGAGACAAAACUGAAGUGAGAAUGGGUGAACUGCUUAAGCACAUUAUCUGGCACUGUUCUAGUAAUGUGGAAAAUUUGUAAUGAAACAAAAUGUUUGAUAAUCUACAAACUCAAAUAAGGGACUCAUUAAAAACAUUUGUACAGUCCUUGCCACAGCUAAGUGAUACUUUGUGUGUAGGAUAAAUAUAAUAAUAAUAAUAAUAACAAUAAUAAUAAUAGUGGAAAUAUAAUUCCACAAGAAUUGGCUUAAAAAUAUAAGUUUGCCAAAAUUGAAAGAUAAAUGUUUAAGCAGCACUCAGUUUGGAGAAAGAAAGCUAAGCUUUUAACUUCAGACACUCCUCAUUUCUGAUUAAAUUCUUUAGCACUCUGAUUUCCUUUCCCAGAAUAUGAAAUCAGAUCACAGAAAGGGGAAAAAAAAGAUCCCAGAGAGGAGAGCAUUACUGACGGAAGCCAUGUGUCAUUAAUUCGGUUAUAAAUUAUUAGCUGAAAGCAGCCUCUCAGCAUUUGUAUUUGAUGAACAAAAAUUGAUUGCUUCAAGGGCAUUUCAAUCCUUUUGAUGUUACCAUCUUUUAGUCCACCACAAAUCUGAAUCCUUAACAGAAUGAUUAUAGCAUUAUAGUAAUCCUAAGAGCCAAUACUAAAGGAUUUGGAAGAGCAACUGAGAUCAAUAGUUUGAAAAAAGCAUGUCUUUUUGAGUUGACAGAGCUGUCUAGCCUGAUAGUAAACCUGAAAAAAAUAAGUGGGAACUCAGUACACAAGCAAUCUGCAGACUGAGCCUAACUGUGAUGAUGAGCCAUUUUUCUGAAUUGCUGUAUACGCCAAGAUCUCCAAAUAUUUCCACAGGAUUUAAGCAAAACUAAUGGCAACCAAGAGAUAUUUUACUAACAAUAAAAAAGAAGUUUCUGAAAUAAGUUUGUGAGUGUUUUCAGAGCUUUGUGAACUAUUCCAGAGGUUGGGAAGUUCUGUGAGGUCAACAUUCGUGUUUUGCAUAGACUUUGAGAUUAUUUGAACUGGGAUUUGAGGCAACAUUGUCUUAAUGAUUGUCUUACUUUUAGUUGCUUUGAAAUCUAGAAUUCGGGCCACACUCCAACACAGAGAUGAAAGUUCAGUCCUCUCAGCAAUAGAAUCGUGAGAUAUAGAGUAGACAGAAGGACCAUGCAUUCUUACUAUGUAAUCUAUACCAAAUUUUUAAAACUAUUUUAAGUAUGGAAGGAAGAG
rnacentral:lncRNA from 1 species